rnacentral:rRNA from 1 species
AGUGAACGCUGGCGGUAGGCCUAACACAUACAAGUCGAACGGCAGCACAGUAAGAGCUUGCUCUUACGGGUGGCGAGUGGCGGACGGGUGAGGAAUACAUCGGAAUCUACUUUUUCGUGGGGGAUAACGUAGGGAAACUUACGCUAAUACCGCAUACGACCUACGGGUGAAAGCAGGGGAUCUUCGGACCUUGCGCGAUUGAAUGGGCCGAUGUCGGAUUAGCUAGUUGGCGGGGUAAAGGCCCACCAAGGCGACGAUCCGUAGCUGGUCUGAGAGGAUGAUCAGCCACACUGGAACUGAGACACGGUCCAGACUCCUACGGGAGGCAGCAGUGGGGAAUAUUGGACAAUGGGCGCAAGCCUGAUCCAGCCAUACCGCGUGGGUGAAGAAGGCCUUCGGGUUGUAAAGCCCUUUUGUUGGGAAAGAAAAGCAGCAGGUUAAUACCCCGCUGUUCUGACGGUACCCAAAGAAUAAGCACCGGCUAACUUCGUG